rnacentral:rRNA from 1 species
GACGAACGCUGGCGGCGUGCUUAACACAUGCAAGUCGAACGAAGAGCGAUGGAAGCUUGCUUCUAUCAAUCUUAGUGGCGAACGGGUGAGUAACGCGUAAUCAACCUGCCCUUCAGAGGGGGACAACAGUUGGAAACGACUGCUAAUACCGCAUACGAUCCAAUCUCGGCAUCGGGACUGGAUGAAAGGUGGCCUCUAUUUAUAAGCUAUCACUGAAGGAGGGGAUUGCGUCUGAUUAGCUAGUUGGAGGGGUAACGGCCCACCAAGGCGAUGAUCAGUAGCCGGUCUGGGAGGAUGGACGGCCACAUUUGGACUGGGACACGGCCCAGACUCCUACGGGAGGCAGCAGUGGGGAAUCUUCCGCAAUGGACGAAAGUCUGACGGAGCAACGCCGCGUGAGUGAUGACGGCCUUCGGGUUGUAAAGCUCUGUUAAUCGGGACGAAUGGUUCUUGUGCGAAUAGUGCGAGGAUUUGACGGUACCGGAAGAGAAAGCCACGGCUAACUACGUG